UACGUAGGGUGCAAGCGUUGUCCGGAAUUAUUGGGCGUAAAGAGUUCGUAGGCGGUUUGUCGCGUCCGUUGUGAAAGCUUGGGGCUCAACCCCAGGUCUGCAGUGGAUACGGGCAGGCUAGAGUCAGGUAGGGGAGAACGGAAUUCCUGGUGUAGCGGUGAAAUGCGCAGAUAUCAGGAGGAACACCGGUGGCGAAGGCGGUUCUCUGGGCCUGUACUGACGCUGAGGCACGAAAGCGUGGGGAGCAAACAGG
rnacentral:rRNA from 1 species